UUGGAGGGCAAGUCUGGUGCCAGCAGCCGCGGUGAUUCCAGCUCCAAUAGCGUAUAUUAAAGUCGUUGCAGUUAAAAAGCUCGUAGUUGAAUUUCGGGAUCAAUAUGUUGGUCGUGCCUUGGUACGUACUAUCUUAUUGGUUUCUCCCUUCUGACGAACCAUGAUGUCAUUAAUUUGAUGUCUUGGGGAAUCAGGACUGUUACUUUGAAAAAAUUAGAGUGUUUAAAGCAGGCUCACGCUUGAAUACAUUAGCAUGGAAUAAUGAAAUAGGACGUUUGAUUCUAUUUUGUUGGUUUCUAGGAUCGGCGUAAUGAUUAAUAGGGAUAGUUGGGGGCAUUAGUAUUCAAUUGCCAGAGGUGAAAUUCUUGGAUUUAUUGAAGACUAACUACUGCGAAAGCAUUUGCCAAGGAUGUUUUCAUUAAUCAAGAACGAAAGUUAGGGGAUCGAAGACGAUCAGAUACCGUCGUAGUCUUAACCAUAAACUAUGCCGACUAGGGAUCGGGUGAUGUUAAUUUUUUAAUGACUCAUUCGGCGCCUUACGGGAAACCAAAGUGUUUGGGUUC
rnacentral:rRNA from 1 species